rnacentral:rRNA from 1 species
UACGAAGGGGGCUAGCGUUGUUCGGAAUUACUGGGCGUAAAGCGCACGUAGGCGGACAUUUACGUCAGGGGUGAAAUCCCAGAGCUCAACUCUGGAACUGCCUUUGAUACUGGGUGUCUUGAGUAUGGAAGAGGUGAGUGGAAUUCCGAGUGUAGAGGUGAAAUUCGUAGAUAUUCGGAGGAACACCAGUGGCGAAGGCGGCUCACUGGUCCAUUACUGACGCUGAGGUGCGAAAGCGUGGGGAGCAAACAGG